AUACGUAGGGAGCGAGCGUUGUCCGGAAUUACUGGGUGUAAAGGGAGCGUAGGCGGGAGUGCAAGUCAGAUGUGAAAUACAUGGGCUCAACCCAUGGGCUGCAUUUGAAACUGCAUUUCUUGAGUGAAGUAGAGGUAAGCGGAAUUCCUGGUGUAGCGGUGAAAUGCGUAGAUAUCAGGAGGAACACCGGUGGCGAAGGCGGCUUACUGGGCUUUUACUGACGCUGAGGCUCGAAAGCGUGGGGAGUAAACAGGAUUAGAUACCCUGGUAGUCCACGCUGUAAACGAUGAUUACUAGGUGUGGGGGGACUGACCCCUUCCGUGCCGCAGUUAACACAAUAAGUAAUCCACCUGGGGAGUACGGCCGCAAGGUUGAAACUCAAAUGAAUUGGCGGGG
rnacentral:rRNA from 1 species